AGAGUUUGAUCCUGGCUCAGGAUGAACGCUAGCGGCAGGCUUAACACAUGCAAGUCGAGGGGUAACAGGGUUUGCUUGCAAACCGCUGACGACCGGCGCACGGGUGCGUAACGCGUAUAGAACCUACCCUUUACUGGGAGAUAGCCCGGAGAAAUCCGGAUUAAUAUCCCAUAGUAAUGUUUUAUGGCAUCGUAAGACAUUUAAAGUUACGGCGGUAAAGGAUGGCUAUGCGUCUUAUUAGCUAGUAGGUGAGGUAACGGCUUACCUAGGCUACGAUAAGUAGGGGCCCUGAGAGGGGGAUCCCCCACACUGGUACUGAGACACGGACCAGACUCCUACGGGAGGCAGCAGUGAGGAAUAUUGGACAAUGGGCGCAAGCCUGAUCCAGCCAUGCCGCGUGCAGGAAGACAGCCCUACGGGUUGUAAACUGCUUUUAUACAGGAAGAAUAAGGGGUACGUGUACCCUGGUGACGGUACUGUAAGAAUAAGGACCGGCUAACUCCGUGCCAGCAGCCGCGGUAAUACGGAGGGUCCGAGCGUUAUCCGGAAUCAUUGGGUUUAAAGGGUCCGCAGGCGGGCGAUUAAGUCAGGGGUGAAAUGGUGCGGCUCAACCGUAGCACUGCCCUUGAUACUGGUUGUCUUGAGUCAUAGUGGAGUGGCUGGAAUAUGUAGUGUAGCGGUGAAAUGCAUAGAUAUUACAUAGAACACCAAUCGCGAAGGCAGGUCACUAACUAUCGACUGACGCUGAUGGACGAAAGCGUGGGGAGCGAACGGGAUUAGAUACCCCGGUAGUCCACGCCGUAAACGAUGGAUACUAGCUGUCGGGCAUUCGUGCUCGGUGGCCAAGCGAAAGUGAUAAGUAUCCCACCUGGGGAGUACGUUCGCAAGAAUGAAACUCAAAGGAAUUGACGCGGGCCCGCACAAGCG
rnacentral:rRNA from 1 species